rnacentral:rRNA from 1 species
CAGCCGCGGUAAUUCCAGCUCCAAUAGCGUAUAUUAAAGUUGUUGCGGUUAAAAAGCUCGUAGUUGGAUUUCUGCAUGGAAGGAGCGGUCCACCCUUUGGGUGAGUUACUGCUACCUUUUGUGCAUCUUCCUGAGAAGGCGUUCUUCACUUUAUUGUGAGGCCGCAUGACUCAGGACGUUUACUUUGAGGAAAUGAGAGUGUUUCAAGCAGGCAAAUGCCUUGAAUACGUUAGCAUGGAAUAAUAGCAUCGGACCAUCGUCCAGCUGUUGGUGUCUGGGCGAAGGUAAAGGUGAAUAGGGAUUGUUGGGGGCAUUCGUAUUUAACUGUCAGAGGUGAAAUUCUUGGAUUUGUUGAAGACGGACUACUGCGAAAGCAUCUGCCAAAGAUGUUCUCAUUGAUCAAGAACGAAAGUUAGGUGAUCGAAGACGAUCAGAUACCGUCCUAGUCUUAACCAUAAACUAUGCCGACUGGAGAUAGGAAGCGUUUAUUUUACGACUCUUUCUGCAUCUUGAGAGAAAUCAAAGUCUUUGGGUUCCGGGGGGAGUAUGGUCGCAAGGCUGAAACUUAAAGGAAUUGACGGAAGGGCACCACCAGGAGUGGAGCCUGCGGCUUAAUUUGACUCAACACGGGGAAACUUACCAGGUCCGGACAUAGGUAGGAUUGACAGACUGAGAGCUCUUUCUUGAUUCUAUGGGUGGUGGUGCAUGGGCCGUUCUUAGUUGGUGGAGUGAUUUGUCUGGUUAAUUCCGUUAACGAACGAGACCUUAACCUGCUAAAUAGGUACGGUAACCUCUUGGUUGCCGGUCACCUUCUUAGAGGGACGUCGCGUGUCUAACGCGAGGAAGUGUGAGGCAAUAACAGGUCUG